AUGGAUUUUUUGUUCCUUUCAGGUUGAUAACGAUCCCCCGAGGGCCAGGAACUGCAUAGACCACGGCGAGGGCAAUGAGCAGCAAGGCAAGGACCUUCUCCAUGACGAACGGCAGCACAGCUGGAUCAGGGAGCGACUGGCAGGUUCAAGGCCGGG